UACGUAGGGUGCGAGCGUUGUCCGGAAUUAUUGGGCGUAAAGAGCUCGUAGGCGGUGUGUCGCGUCGGCCGUGAAAACCUGCAGCUUAACUGUGGGCUUGCGGUCGAUACGGGCAUCACUGGAGUUCGGCAGGGGAGACUGGAAUUCCUGGUGUAGCGGUGAAAUGCGCAGAUAUCAGGAGGAACACCGGUGGCGAAGGCGGGUCUCUGGACAGUUCCGUGACGCUGAGGCACGAAGGUCAGGGGGAGCAAACGGG
rnacentral:rRNA from 1 species